GACGAACGCUGGCGGCGUGCUUAACACAUGCAAGUCGAACGGAAAGGCCCUGCUUUUGUGGGGUGCUCGAGUGGCGAACGGGUGAGUAACACGUGAGUAACCUGCCCUUGACUUUGGGAUAACUUCAGGAAACUGGGGCUAAUACCGGAUAGGAGCUCCUGCUGCAUGGUGGGGGUUGGAAAGUUUCGGCGGUUGGGGAUGGACUUGCGGCUUAUCAGCUUGUUGGUGGGGUAGUGGCUUACCAAGGCUUUGACGGGUAGCCGGCCUGAGAGGGUGACCGGCCACAUUGGGACUGAGAUACGGCCCAGACUCCUACGGGAGGCAGCAGUGGGGAAUAUUGCACAAUGGGCGGAAGCCUGAUGCAGCAACGCCGCGUGCGGGAUGACGGCCUUCGGGUUGUAAACCGCUUUCGCCUGUGGCGAAGCGUGAGUGACGGUAAUGGGUAAAGAAGCACCGGCUAACUACGUG
rnacentral:rRNA from 1 species